AGUGAACGCUGGCGGUAGGCCUAACACAUGCCAGUCGAACGGCAGCACAGUAAGAGCUUGCUCUUACGGGUGGCGAGUGGCGGACGGGUGAGGAAUACAUCGGAAUUUACUUUUUCGUGGGGGAUAACGUAGGGAAACUUACGCUAAUACCGCAUACGACCUACGGGUGAAAGCAGGGGAUCUUCGGACCUUGCGCGAUUGAAUGAGCCGAUGUCGGAUUAGCUAGUUGGCGGGGUAAAGGCCCACCAAGGCGACGAUCCGUAGCUGGUCUGAGAGGAUGAUCAGCCACACUGGAACUGAGACACGGUCCAGACUCCUACGGGAGGCAGCAGUGGGGAAUAUUGGACAAUGGGCGCAAGCCUGAUCCAGCCAUACCGCGUGGGUGAAGAAGGCCUUCGGGUUGUAAAGCCCUUUUGUUGGGAAAGAAAAGCAGCAGGUUAAUACCCCGCUGUUCUGACGGUACCCAAAGAAUAAGCACCGGCUAACUUCGUG
rnacentral:rRNA from 1 species